rnacentral:rRNA from 1 species
CCUACGGGAUGCUGCAGUGGGGAAUAUUGCACAAUGGACGGAACUCUGAUGCAGCGACGCCGCGUGAGUGAUGAAGUAAUUCGUUAUGUAAAGCUCUAUCAGCAGGGAAGAAAGUGACGGUACCUGAACACGACUCUCCGGCUAAAUACGUGCCAGCCGCCGCGGUACUACGUAUGGAGCAAGCGUUAUCCGGAUUUAAUGGGUGUAAAGGGAGAGUAGGUGGCAAAGCAAGUCCGCAGUGAAACCCCAAAGCCCAAACAGGGGAAUGCGGUCGAAACUGCUACGCUAGAGUGCCGGAGAGGGAAGUGGAAUGCGUGGUGUAGCGGUGAAAUGAGUAGAUAUUGGGAAGAACACCAGUGGCGAAGGCGGCUUGCUGGACUGAAACUGACACUGAGGAACGAAAGCGUGGGGAUCAAACAGGAUUAGAUACCCCAGUAGUC